rnacentral:rRNA from 1 species
GACGAACGCUGGCGGCGUGCUUAACACAUGCAAGUCGAACGGAACGACCCUGCUUUUGUGGGGUUCUCGAGUGGCGAACGGGUGCGUAACACUUGAGUAACCUGCCCUUGACUUUGGGAUAACUUCAGGAAACUGGGUCUAUUACCCGAUAGGAUCUCCUGCUGCAUGUUGGGGCUUGUAAAGUUUCGGCGGUUGGGGAUGUACUCGCGGCUUAUCAGCUUGUUGGUGGGGUAGUGGCUUACCAAGGCUUUGACGGGUAGCCGGCCUGAGAGGGUGACCGGAAAGAGUGGGACUGAGAUACGGCACAGAAUGGAACGGGAGGCAGCAGUGGGGAAUAUAGCAGAAUGGGAGGAAGCCAGAGGAAGAAAAGCAGCGAGGGGGAAGAAGGGAAUCGGGUAGUAAAAGGAAUUAGAAUGAGACGAAGCGUGAGUGACGGUAAUGGGUAAAGAAGCACCGGCUAACUACGUG